rnacentral:rRNA from 1 species
AAAAACAUGUCUUUAUGAAUUUUAUAUAAAGUCUAGCCUGCCCAUUGACGUGAAGUUAAAAGGCCGCGGUAUAUUGACCGUGCGAAGGUAGCAUAAUGAUUUGUUCUUUAAUUGAGGACUGGAAUGAAUGGUUGAACAAAAAGCUAACUGUCUUACUAACAAAUCUUGAAUUUAACAUUUAAGUGAAAAGGCUUAAAUAUUUUAAGGGGACGAUAAGACCCUAUAAAUCUUUAUAUUUUAAUGUUUGAUUGUAAAUUUUAGUUGAAAGAUUUAUGGUUAGUCGUUAAAAUAUUUUGUUGGGGCGACAGAGGUAAAAUAAGUAACUGCCUUGAAUUUAAGAAGUUAAGUGUGUAUAGAUUGUAUAUUAAAGUGGUCCUUCAUUGAGGAAUAAUAGAAUAAGUUACUUUAGGGAUAACAGCGUAAUCCUUUUUAAGAGUUCAGAUCGAAAAAAGGGAUUGCGACCUCGAUGUUGAAAUUAAAAGAUCCUUUACGGUGCAGAAAGUGU